AGUUUUCAUCGCUAGACCAAAUGUACAACCGCCUGAUGUCCUGCUCUAGGAUCCCCUCCUCAACCCAACCGAUCUUGAGUUCCCCAAGCUUCCGACCCUGCGCCCUCCGCCAGGACCCCUGCGUACAAGCCUCUCACCCCGAACGUUGAUGUUGAAGCCACAGCGAAUACAGGUGACCGUAUCCUGAGCCCCGGGCAGAGGCAGGACCGAGCCGCAAUCUGAACAGAAAUCCAGGUCCGACUGAAAGCUGGAGCAAGUAUUGGCGAGGUCCAUGACAGACAUGCGGUCGGGUCUGAGGAGGGAGUUGGAAGUUUAUUAACAAAAGAGAGAAGAGUUCCUGUCCCAGAGGUCGUAACUAUUCUGUCCCAGGACCUAGGAGUAUAUAACCCGAACCCUCCUGCCACGCACGCCUCCUGCCUCUGCGACCAAGGAGCCGAAACGCCCGGAAUUCCCAGACAGCGUCGGGUACUAAAGGACUUGGAACCCUUUCCAGGGGCCGGUGAGAGGAGUUAACCAACUCCGUGGGCUAGAGCGCCAGCUCUGCGCCCGCGGCGGGGCAGCGAGAUAGAGCCGGCUAGAGCGUCAGGCUUUCGCGUUGACGAUUGGCUGUGACGUCAUAAUUAAUUGCGAACCGUGUCUCGGGAGCGUUAGAGAUGGAGACUAACGUCUUCCAAGGGAGAUUGCGUCUCCACUUUCACCCUGGUACUGAGAGGUUGAGCACAAAAUUGGUAACCAAUGCUGCGCUUCCAGCAAAUUUUCCCACCAGCACCCAAUCCUGGGAUAUUUAUUCUCUUUGUCUCACAUCCUACAGGAACGCAGUCGCGGGGUAUAUCCCCCUGAAAACCGUACGUUGCCAAAUAAUGAUUUCUUUGGAUUAGAGAACUACAACUCCCCUGGGUCCUGAGCCGGUAUUUCCCUUUUGCGGCUGCACCGUAGUUAAAAACAAAGCUAAGUGUUCUGGGACGUAUAGUUCUAGCGUUCCUUGGGUCCCGCUGGCGAGCGUGGGCUUUCUGCAGCUCGCAACCGGCCUCGUGCUUUGCGGACGGUUCACUGCGCUUGGAAAGGGAUUGGCCUGGGGUACAUCAUCUAAAGAUCCUAGGAUUGCUGCAGGUCAGCAGUCUCCACUGGAAAAAAAGAUCUUGGCUUUGAUUUGUUGGAGAAACUGUUACCAGAAAAACAGGUCCCGAUCCCGACCCCAAAAGAGUAUUCUUGGAUCUUGCACAGGAAGGAAUUAAAGGUGAGUCACAGAGUGCAGUGAGAAGGAGAUAGUUUAUUGAAAGUUACUCAGAUACAGAGUAGGUGUCCUCAGAAAGCAAAAGGAAGAAUGCACCAUCUUUGUUGUAAACUCUUCUAAUGUAGGGGUUUAAUCUACAUAAAAGCUAAGUUAAAUGUCUAUGUGUGGGUGCUCUGACAGCAUGACAAAAUUUAGGACCUAUUGAUUUAAAGAAAGUUAUCCUUGGCAUUUUAGUUAGUAUAUCAAAGCAUGACUAUAAUAAUCUUAAAAGCAUAUAUUAUAAUGUGACGUCAGGACAUGUGGACAUUCUGUUGUCUGUCAUAGGCGUUUGUUCUUGCAGGCAUUAUUAAGUUGUUUAAUCAGCUGUAAACCUCUUAUGACCAUGGGUUGUGACUGGCAAGGAAUAUGCCUUGCUAGUUGAAAGAUGGAGUUGACUUUAAAAUGGUGUCACCCUGGCUCUCCUAUGCUUCUGUUUCCCCAAAAAAGCCAGGUUACUUGUCCUGUAGAAUGAUCCACAUUCUGAGUUUGGCUAAUGACAUUCUCAUGGUAUUAACUUGUUUCUUUAUAUGUUGUUUUUUCUGUUACCCACAAAAUAAUUCUUCUGAUACACAUUUGUAAUCUUACCAUGCCAGCAUCUGCUACUCUUCAUGUUACCAAAUUUCUGUUCAAGGACCACUAAAGCCACAGUCAGUGGACAUUCUGAGACCUCUAGGGGAGGGUGGAGAUGCUGUCCUUUAAUAUAGUCUGACCCAAGCAACCUCCCCACUUGGCAUGGUGAAUCUAGACAAGCUAAAGAAUUUACUACGCCCCAGGCCUGCACCAGCCCUCUCCUAAGACCUUGGGCACUCUCAUUUCCCUUUUUUUUUUUUCUAAAGGAAGUCAUAGUUUCUCAUAACCUUUGCUAGUGAUCCUGGACCUUGGUUGUUCCCUGAGGCUGUGUUCUCCACACUGCUGCCAUCACUGCUACAGCAGAGGUGCAGAAAGCUCAGGAGAGAGAAGGGAGGAAAAGCUGAAGAUUUUGUGUUAUUCAUGCUUUCCUGACUCCGGCGAAAGUGCUUCCUCCACCUGCAACCAUUUCUGUUUCUAUACUGCUGAGUCUUGUGUUCCCAAGACCAAGGGAAGCCCAUUUUCUUUAAAGCCAGUCACAGUUUCUGUUGGCUGAUGGAAUAUCUGUUGUCCAGCAGUUGUAUUCCUGCUCACAAAUGCAAAACAGUUUGAUGCCACGCACAUUCCAGGGCUUAGACUGGAAAUGCUGUCCCUUGCCCCUUUGUUACCUUCUGACAGGGAUCAGUCCAUAGUGUAGUUGGUGUCACAACAGUCCCGAAGAAGCCUUCCAAUAGAUACCCAAAUGUGAUUCAAAGUGGCACAGGCACACACCACGGUGCCACAUGGUGCCUAUGUAAAGCAGGUAUAUCAGGAAUGCUAAGCAGAGAAGUAGCAGAACACACUGAUCCCCAUGUUCUCAUUGUACAGUUGGGUGCAAUUAAGCUGGCACAAUGGACUCUUCUCAUGGCUACUGUUCCAGUAGUGUGGAUGCCCCCAAAUGCUGCAUAUUUACUAGGACAGCCAGGCAGAGACAGCUGUGUACUAUGAUACAACAGUAGUCCCUCUUAGAGGAAGUGACCUUGUUAGAAGUGGGAGUUUCUGAAGCUCUUCAGCUGUUACUGGCCUGCUCUUCCAUAGCGUUACUUCAGACCUGCUGGCCCAGCUAUCCACUCCGCUAACAGGUCUGUCUCUGCUAACAGGUCUAGCUCUGUCUCCUCAGCACAUGUUCUAGGCUCUGACUGCAAGUGCUGACUUGGGCUCCCAGCCCCACACAGACCCUCUGUUCCAUGAAAGGGCCAUCUAUGCAAAGUGCCCCCCAAAUGCCAAAGGAGCCAAUAAACCAAGGAACAAGACAGACAAAUCUAGUUGUCAGUAAAGAGUGUUUUAUUGGGGAACUUACAGACAGAAGCGUGGUCUUGGAUGGCAGGAAGACAGGUAGGUUUCUGCACUUAUUACCCCCACACCCAGGGCUUAUAUACCACAGGGGAAGAGUAUACAUGCUCUGUGCAAGACAAAGGCUACUACUGUCCAGAACAGGUAAGAAUGCUAAUGUGUCAUAGCCUAGAAUUUGUAUAACAUCAAGGUUGACAUGUUCUUACAAUAGGGAUGGUAAAUAAAGUGGGAAUCAGGAGUCAGUCCUGGGACUGGGGCUAAUCAGAAGUCAGCAUAGAGAAUUAGCAUCCAAGAGGGAGUCACUUUUCUCUCCACAUCCCAGCCCUCUAAUCCAGCUCUUACAAUCUCAUGGACUCACAUUUCCCCCAUAGUCCCUGAGCCUUCAGAGAGGGCUGUGGGUGACAUUUUGAUGGUGUGAGUGACACAUUUUAUCAAUUUGUUUUCUACUUGUUAAGCAGGGGCCACAGCAACAACACAAACAACAGGCGAUGAUAUGUAUGCCAGGUGUAAGACACAGAAUUAAAAAUGCCCUUUACCAUGUUUAUUCAGGAACCAAACCAAGAGGUAUAGAGCAGAACAACAAUAGGAACAGAAGACUAUGGGUGGAAUUAAAAAUGUUUAGUAGGUAUUUGGUGGGGCAGUUCUUCCCCAUUAAACAGAAUUACUGGUAGCUCCAUCUCUGUUGAUUAGGAACAUAGGAUUGUGGGCUGGGAGUACACACCAAACAUGUUGCCUGAGGGGCAAAGGCGCUGGUAUUAUGUGUAAGGUUACAGGGGCAGCAAAGGACCAUGUCAAAUGGCCAGCCAGGGUGCUUCUUAAAAGGGACUGUGUUCCAGUUUAUUGGUAUGUGGAGUGUUUUGGCCCAGACUUCAGCAGGAUCAAUGGAGACCACUUUAGUUGGUAGGGAAUUCCUUGCUGUCUGGAAAGAAAUGCUCUAUCCAACAUAGGGGAAGUUGCUAGUCCAACCCCCAUUCAAGUGUCUCCUCCCUGGCUCAAGAUCUUGAGGAGUUCUAAAUAACCUUUGCCAUUGGCCUUUUAUCUGCUCAGGUCAGAGAUGCAUCUGGUUGGACUUUCUUUACUAUUAUGGUUAAUGGAUCCAUCUCUGUGGUGGUCCUGAGUCAUUGGUGUGGUGCCAGCACCAUAUUUGUCUCAACUAAAUUAAGGUUUCUAAUGGCUUGAGGCAAAAUCUUUGUCUAACUAUGAAAGAUAUUGGAUUUUGAGAGUGCUCAAAACUGUGCCUUCAAAAUACCAUUUUUCCUUUCAAUCAACCCUGUUGCUUGGGGGAGUAUACAGUAAGUGAAAUACCCAGUCUAUGUCCCUUUCAUGCAUCCAGUCUUGGACACCGUGUCUGGUGAAAUGCAUGCCUCGAUUGCUAUCAAUAUGUGGAGGGUAUCCUUACAUGACACUGAGUUGCUCCAAGCCCCUGAUGGUGGCUGUUUGGUUUGCUCUUACAAGGGAAAGCUUGCAACAAUCCCAUGGCAGUGUAUACACAUGUUAGUGCAUACUUUCGUCUCAAGAUUACUGGCAAGGGUCUGAUGUAGUCUAUCUACCAGUCUGUCACAGGGGUGGCUGUCUUAUGUAUAUGUCCAGGUGUAUGUGGGAUGUGGCAGAGGUACAGACGGGAACAAAUUAAGCAGUUUGCUACCGCCACCACUAAAUCUGCAUAGCAGAGAGCCAAUCCUGCUCCCUUUGCUAUUUGGCAGCCCAUUCAUGCACUGAAAUCCCCACUGUGAUAUGUACCUAAUCAACUAGCUCAGUAUUCUAAUUUUUGCUAGGAUGUCUGCCUCCAUGUUUCUGGGAGGUGAAUCUGACCAGUGUGCUGAAGCAAUUAGGUCCACAGUGGGUUCCUGUAGACUUUUCCAAAUGUCUUUCCACAUAUCAGCUCCCCAUAAGGAUUUUUAAAUUAUAUACCAAUCAUCUCAGGCCCUUUGGGCAAGCCAAAUUGUAAGACCCUUAAGUACUGCCAGACUGUCUGUACAGAGAACUAUAGGUGGUGGCUCACGGGUACAAACCAACCAUGUAGCUUGGAGUUCUGCCCAUUGACUGCUCUGUUGCAUUCCCAUCUCAAACCAGAUACUGUCUGUGGUUGUGCAGCUACUACUGUCCAUACACAGGGUUACCUUGGCUCAAUGCAUCUAAGUACCAAGCAUUAUCAGGAAUGAGGGCCAUGCCUUCAUGUACCAUUGGAGACAUCUCCUGUGAGGGCUCCACAAUAGGGGCAGCACUGGACUCAUAAUGUACUGGCCCUAAGAUAGCAUGCAGUUCAUCUCUUAAGGGAUGCAUGGAGAAGGCACUAUGUUGUUGCAUGUAUGCAUGGCACUUUUGUAAAGUGGAAACUUGGGCAAUAGCUGAUACAGGCCUGGCAAACACUCCUACCCAGUCCUUGAUAGGAAACCUGUUCUCCCUGGUACCAGGAAAGCAGCAGUUAUGGAUUCAACUUGUGGCAAGACCUUCUAUAUCCCCAGGACCUGUUAUUCAACUGGGAAAUAGCAGGUUUCAGUACCCUUCCAUUAAUUGUGACUAAAAUUCUAAAGGAACUGCUUCCCUAUGCUGGACUUUAUAUUUUCAUCAUCCAAAAUUAUAGUUUAGUUUUACCUUUAAAAAUAUGUUUUUUGUUCUCAUUUGUUCCAUAGGUUUCUCCUUGAAAUUUAUAUUGUAUGGUAAGGUUUCCUAUUGUUUGCAUUUUGUGGAUUGCACGCCAAGGUGUGGUUUAAUGUAUUUCUAUUACCUGUAUUUUCUGUAAAUUGGUAGUUUGGUAUAGAGGUUUGUGUACAUUCAGGGUUUUUUUUUUUCUGUAAGUAUUGAUGGUUCUGUAAAAGGAAAAUAAAAUCUUGGGGCCCCAAAAUUACUAAGCUAAAGGGAAAAGUCAAGCUGGGAACUGCUUAGGGUAAACCUGCCUCCCAUCUGUUCAGAGUCGCCCCUCUGCUCACUGAGAUAAACACAUGUCUGAUUCCCUCAUUUGGAAAGGCUAAUCGGAAACUCAAAAGAAUGCAACCAUUUGUCUCUCAUCUAUCUGUGACCUGGAAGCCCCCUCCUUGCUUCGAGUUGUCCCGCCUUUCCAGACGGAAUCAAUCUUUAGCUUACAUAUGUUGAUCACUGUCUCAUGUCCCCUUAAAAUGUAUAAAACCAAGUUGUGCUCUGACCACCAAAGUUGUGCUGAGAAGUGACACCAAAGAACAUGGUGGCAUAAGAACUCCAAGGACCCCUCCCCUCCACAGCGGCAAUGUGCUUGUUGAAACACCAGUAUAAAAAAACUCGAUGAGAGCUGUGAUUGGAUUUAGUGUUGAUAUAUUUUUUGUAAAUUGUGGUAAAACAUGCAUACUAUAUAAUUUACCUUCUAACCAUUUUUUCAGUGUACAAUUUGGUGGCAGUAAGCACAUUUACAAUGUUGUGUAACCACCGCCAAUAUCCAUUUCCAGAACAUUUUCAUCAUCCCAAACAGAAACUGUACCCAUUAAACCAUAACUGCCCAUUCUCCCUACCCCCAGCCCCUGGUAAUCUCUAUUCUAUUUUCUGUUUCUAUGAAUUUGCUUAUUCUAGCUACUUUAUAUAAGUAAAAUAUCAUAUUUGUUUUUAUUUCUGGCUUAUUUCACUUAUAGUGUUUUCAAGGCUCAUCCAAUUAGAAUUUCAUUCACUUUUAAGGCUGAAUAAUAUUCCAUGCUUAUGUGCACCGUGGGUUGUUUAUCCAGUCAUCCUCUGAUGGACACUCGGUUGCUUCCACCUUUUGGAUAUUGGGUAUAGUGCUGCUAUGGGCCUGAGUGUACACAUAUCUGGGUGAGUUCCUGCUUUCAGUGCUUUUGGGUAUGCCCAAAAGUGGAAUUGUUGGCUCAUAUAGUAAUUCUAUUUUUACUUUCUUGAGGAAUCACUAUUCUGUUUUCCAUGGUGGCUGCACCACUGUAUACUCUCACCAGCAGUGUACAAGUGUUCCAGUUUCUCCAUAUCUUCACCAACACUUGGCCUAGUGAAGUUUACCAUAUUUUUAUGUCCUUAUUGGCAUUCCUUUUUUUUUUUUUUUUGUGAAACAGAGUCUUGCUCUGUUGCCAGGCUGGAGUGCAGUGGCACAAUCUCGGCUCGCUGUAACCUCCACUUCCCAGGUUCAAGUGAUUCUCCUACCUCAGCCUCCUGAGUAGCUGGGACUACAGGUACCUGCCACCAUGCCCAACUAAUAUUUGUAUUUUUUUGGUACAGACGGGGUUUCACCAUGUUGGCCGGGAUGGUCUUGAUCUCUUGACCUCGUGAUCCGCCCACCUCGGCCUCCCAAAGUACUGGGAUUACAGGCAUGAGCCACCAUGCCUGACCAGCAUUCCUUAUUUUUAUGUCCUUAUUGUAUAUCUUCUUUGGAGAAUUGUCUAUUCAUGUCUUUUACUUAUUUUUGAAUGAGAUUGUUUUGCUAUUGUUGAAUUGUAGUUCUUUACAUAUUCUGGAUAUUAAUUCUUUAUCAGAUAUGUGAUUGGCAAAUAUUUCCUCCUGGUCUGUGCAUUUUCUUUUGAUUCUCUUAAUAGUGUCCUUUGAUGCAAAAAAGUUUUUAAAUUUUGAUGCAUUCUAAUUUGUCAUUUUUCUUAUAUUACUUGUACUAUUGGUCACCAGCCAAGAAACCACUACCAAUUCUAAUGUCCAUAAGAUUUUCCUCAGUAUUUUCUUGAGGGUUUUACAGGUUCAAUUCUUAAGAUUAGUUCUUUGAGUCAUUCUGACUUAAUUUUUGAAAAGGGUGUAAUGGAAGGACAUGAAUUUUUUCCAGCAUCAUUCUUUUGCAUGUUGAUAUCCAGGUUUCCAGCACCAUUUGUUGAUGCACCAUCUGUUGCAGUGGGGCUGACACAUUUGUAAGAUGCAGUGAGCAUUAAUACAUGGGAGCACCAUGCAUUUAUUUACCUGUCUUUACUUCACAGUUGUUUUGAGAAGGCUUUCACUGACAGACUCAACAGAAAUGAAUAUAUAUGACUUCUUAUAAAAUCAUAUUCAAGUAAAAUUAUAAAUUUUAAAAUGUUAAGACUGGAGCAAGACUGGAACAUCACUAGACAAGCUGAAACAUAGGCUGAAAUGAAGGGUUAUGUUUACCUUGCUACAAAUUCUGUUGGCCCACAAUCUCUUAUGCUUAUUGCUUAAGAGAGCCACAGAGUGGGGUGAUAGCUCACAUAACCAGUCCCUGGUUUUCUGCUUCAGAAAGAAGUUUAAAUAUUCUGCUUAGACAGAGUAAGGAAAUUAACUGAAAGAUGUCUAAUGUGAAGUUGGCAUCUACAAAGUGAAGGAGUGAGUAGUAAGUGUAAACAUCAGGAAUCCCAGGAGAUUCUAUCUUUUUGCACGGAAAUGGCCUCACUAUGCACUGCUGAAGGGAGAAGGUCCCUUCAGGGGACCUUCAUGAUGAAGAAGAACACAAUAUGAUAUAGGAAUUUUCUGCUGCAGCCCUAAACUGAAUUGUCCUUCUCUCUAACUACAGGUCUCACAAAGUUUUAUAGCUUCAAUGAUUUCACCUGGGCCAAGAUUUUGGUUUUUUUUGAUGUUAUUUGUUUGAACUGCUGCCUGGGGCUUAGAAAAGUGACUUGGAUAUUUUGUCAAAAUGGAUUUUCUUUGAUGGAAUGUGAAAUCCGUAAACACUCUGCUUUCCUGCUGUAUCCCCAGAGCAGGUUGAGUACCUUGCACUUCUUCUCAGCACUUCGCUAGAAGUGGUAGAAGAUUUGGAGUUAGGGCCUCCCUCAAUCCCUACCCUUUCUUUAAUUCAGAGGAUCACAAACUGUUGGGAGAAGAGUGGUAUCUUGGGCCUCUAGCUGAUCUGAUGAAUAUUAAUAUCCAAUGUCCUGUAGUGAAGUCAUGUGUGCGUGUAACAUCACUUCUUCACGCAGUGUCAUAGGAAAGUGGGUUCCUGGACCCCAGGUUAAGAGCCUAAGCACUAAAGGCACAGAGCUAGAGCUCUAGGAGGGGAGGGAUGGCUGGGGUGGAACCUCGUCUUGUCAUUUAGUCCUGGGGCCUUUUCACUCCUUACAUGGUGGGUGGUGGGCGUCUGGCAGGUGCCGAUGUUGAUGGAGUCAAGGGAGGGAACUAGCCGGGACAGGGAAAAACAGGGUUGGAGAGAUAAUUAAGGUGGACGUUAUUUUUUCUGAGCGUAAGUCGUGGCUGGAAAUCUGGAGAGCCUGAAAGAGUAUCCCCCUACCCAAACCUGUUUUUUCCUUUUCCCUCAAGCCUCAUUUGGCCACAGGCCCAGUGUCAACACCAGGGGGCGCCACAGACCAUGAAGGCACCGUGCAGCUGGGAUUGUUUGUGGUCGGCUACUGGGUCCCUGACUUAACCAGGGGAGCCAAGACCCUGUAGCCAAGUGGCCUGGAUUCAACCUGCAGCUCAGGUCUUACUGACACUUCUCCCCCUGGUGCCUCAGUUUCUUAAUCUGUGAAAUGGUGAGGACAUUACAGCAUUUACCUCUGGGGCGGGUUUCUCAACAGCAGCACUAUUAACAAUUUGGGACAGAGAAUCUUGUGGAGUGGUCUGUCCUGUGCAUUGUGGGAGGUUUGCCAGCAACACCCCACUCACCCCCUCCCACCAAUCCCCAUGUGACAACCGAAAAUGUCCCAGGAUUUUUAGGUCUCCCUUGGGUCUAGAAGCUGCACUUAGGCAUUUUCCCACCUGACACUUGAGUUCAUCUCUGCUUUGGUCCACAUAAGGCCACUUUAAAAAAAUGUUGUUUCUUUAAAGAUUCUAACCAUCUUUUAAACAAAUCCAUUUUCUUCCUCUAUUUCUGCAUUCAGUUAAUCCUUCCAAACCCUUUGUUUAGUAUAUCUUGAAAUGUAUCAAUUCCUGUUCUAGUAAUUAACAUAUGUGACUUGCAUGAUAUCUGCUAUGACCCUUAGUAGAGCUCUGAUUCCUUUAGCACAGGGAAUGUGUUCUCGAUUCUGCUCUGGAUGAUGUAAAUCAAUUUAUUUUACUUUACUUGUCUGGGAUGUUGCUCCUCAUCUGUAAGAUGUAAAUGUGGAUAUGGCUUGGAUUACUAAGUGGUUUUAUUUCUUAAUUCACCUGACAUUUGUUGUGUGCCUGCUGCAAGUCAAAUACAUGGCAUGGUAUUGUUUCCUUGUUCACACCACAGCAAAUGAGAAAAUGAGACAUUAUAGCCAGGUGUGGCGGCACAGGCUUGUGGUCCUAGCUACUCGGAAGGCUGAGGCAGGAGAAUUGCUCCAGCCCAGGAGUUUGAGGUUACAGUAAGGUAUGAUAUCACCAUUGCAUUUCAACCUGGGCAACAGACCCUGUCUCUGAAAAAAGGGAAAAAGACCUUGUGAGCUGUCUACGUGUACUCUAUGUCUCAGGAGACUCAUAUCCUGUAAUUUUUCUAAAUGGCGUCUCCAUGUGGUCUUUCAUGAAUGUUUGUCUGGUAUUCUCUAUCCUUUUACUUUCAACUUUUCUUUACCUUCUACUGAAAUUAUGUCUUUUGUAAACAGCCCAUGAUUAUUUAUUUAGUUAUUUAUUUUUACCCCCCUGCACUAUUUGUCUUGUAAUUGGAGUGUCUGAGUCCAUUAUGUUUAAUGUAAUUAUUGACCUCAUUGGGUUUAAGUCUGUCCAUUGUCAUUUGCUGCCUUCUAAUAUUAUCUCUUUCUUGCUCAACUAUUUUUCUUAUGUUACCUUCUUUAGAUGAAUAAAAACCUUUGCAUUAUUGUAGUCUUCUAAGUGUCCUAAUUACACAUUCUCUUAUUAUUUCUUUAAUUAUCUGAGAAAGCAUAAUGAUCUGUGACUUAUUAUAACCAAUAGCAGACCACAACUUCCCUGACUUUCACCUACCUGUGCCCACAGCCCAGGGGAGAAUCAGUGCUCUGGCUCUGAGACACAGGGGUGGUGGGAGUAGGAGAGUGAUUGGAUGAUGAAUCUGUAGCUGCAGAGGCAUCUGGGCCCCUCACCUGCAUUCCUCAUAGAUGUCUCCUCCAUUGAAUGCCUGCGAUGCCCUCUCCUCUGUGUACUCCUGCCAGAGUCUCCCUAUCUCCACUGACAGCAGCUCCACCCUUCUGCUCACUCAGUCCAAUACUGUGGGUGUCCUUGAUUCUUCUUCUCACAUCCAUUAGCAAGUGCUGUGAGUCCAUCUUCAAAUUCAUCCAGAAUCCCUUCACUUCUCACUAUUUCCCCUGCUCACACCCUAGUCAAGGUAAGCAACGUGUCCAUCCUAGAAUACUGUACUCCUUUCCCACCAUUUUCCCCACUGCAUCACUGGUUCCCCACCUCUCAAUUCUGUUCUCAGCACAGCAGCCAGAAAGAAGCUUUCAAAGGAUGAGCCCUACCAUGUCCCACUUUUCAAAACUGUCCUCCCCAUGUCAUUCAGAGCAAAGGUCAACACCCUUCCCACACCCUUCAGGGCUACCUGCUCUA
rnacentral:lncRNA from 1 species